rnacentral:rRNA from 1 species
CCCUGGCAGUCAGAGGCGAUGAAGGACGUGCUAAUCUGCGAUAAGCGUCGGUGAGGUGAUAUGAACCGUUAUAACCGGCGAUUUCCGAAUGGGGAAACCCAGUGUGUUUCGACACACUAUCAUUAACUGAAUCCAUAGGUUAAUGAGGCGAACCGGGGGAACUGAAACAUCUAAGUACCCCGAGGAAAAGAAAUCAACCGAGAUUCCCCCAGUAGCGGCGAGCGAACGGGGAGGAGCCCAGAGCCUGAAUCAGUGUGUGUGUUAGUGGAAGCGUCUGGAAAGGCGCGCGAUACAGGGUGACAGCCCCGUACACAAAAAUGCACAUAUUGUGAGCUCGAUGAGUAGGGCGGGACACGUGGUAUCCUGUCUGAAUAUGGGGGGACCAUCCUCCAAGGCUAAAUACUCCUGACUGACCGAUAGUGAACCAGUACCGUGAGGGAAAGGCGAAAAGAACCCCGGCGAGGGGAGUGAAAAAGAACCUGAAACCGUGUACGUACAAGCAGUGGGAGCCUCUUAAUGGGGUGACUGCGUACCUUUUGUAUAAUGGGUCAGCGACUUAUAUUCUGUAGCAAGGUUAACCGAAUAGGGGAGCCGAAGGGAAACCGAGUCUUAACUGGGCGUUAAGUUGCAGGGUAUAGACCCGAAACCCGGUGAUCUAGCCAUGGGCAGGUUGAAGGUUGGGUAACACUAACUGGAGGACCGAACCGACUAAUGUUGAAAAAUUAGCGGAUGACUUGUGGCUGGGGGUGAAAGGCCAAUCAAACCGGGAGAUAGCUGGUUCUCCCCGAAAGCUAUUUAGGUAGCGCCUCGUGAAUUCAUCUCCGGGGGUAGAGCACUGUUUCGGCAAGGGGGUCAUCCCGACUUACCAACCCGAUGCAAACUGCGAAUACCGGAGAAUGUUAUCACGGGAGACACACGGCGGGUGCUAACGUCCGUCGUGAAGAGGGAAACAACCCAGACCGCCAGCUAAGGUCCCAAAGUCAUGGUUAAGUGGGAAACGAUGUGGGAAGGCCCAGACAGCCAGGAUGUUGGCUUAGAAGCAGCCAUCAUUUAAAGAAAGCGUAAUAGCUCACUGGUCGAGUCGGCCUGCGCGGAAGAUGUAACGGGGCUAAACCAUGCACCGAAGCUGCGGCAGCGACACUAUGUGUUGUUGGGUAGGGGAGCG